rnacentral:rRNA from 1 species
AGAGUUUGCUUCUGGCCCAGAACGAACGCUGGCGGCGUGGAUAAGACAUGCAAGUCGAACGAGAGAAUUGCUAGCUUGCUAAUAAUUCUCUAGUGGCGCACGGGUGAGUAACACGUGAGUAACCUGCCCCCGAGAGCGGGAUAGCCCUGGGAAACUGGGAUUAAUACCGCAUAGUAUCGAAAGAUUAAAGCAGCAAUGCGCUUGGGGAUGGGCUCGCGGCCUAUUAGUUAGUUGGUGAGGUAACGGCUCACCAAGGCGAUGACGGGUAGCCGGUCUGAGAGGAUGUCCGGCCACGCUGGAACUGAGACACGGUCCAGACACCUACGGGUGGCAGCAGUCGAGAAUCAUUCACAAUGGGGGAAACCCUGAUGGUGUGACGCCGCGUGGGGGAAUGAAGGUCUUCGGAUUGUAAACCCCUGUCAUGUGGGAGCAAAUUAAAAAGAUAGUACCACAAGAGGAAGAGACGGCUAACUCUGUGCCAGCAGCCGCGGUAAUACAGAGGUCUCAAGCGUUGUUCGGAAUCACUGGGCGUAAAGCGUGCGUAGGCUGUUUCGUAAGUCGUGUGUGAAAGGCGCGGGCUCAACCCGCGGACGGCACAUGAUACUGCGAGACUAGAGUAAUGGAGGGGGAACCGGAAUUCUCGGUGUAGCAGUGAAAUGCGUAGAUAUCGAGAGGAACACUCGUGGCGAAGGCGGGUUCCUGGACAUUAACUGACGCUGAGGCACGAAGGCCAGGGGAGCGAAAGGGAUUAGAUACCCCUGUAGUCCUGGCAGUAAACGGUGCACGCUUGGUGUGCGGGGAAUCGACCCCCUGCGUGCCGGAGCUAACGCGUUAAGCGUGCCGCCUGGGGAGUACGGUCGCAAGAUUAAAACUCAAAGAAAUUGACGGGGACCCGCACAAGCGGUGGAGUAUGUGGCUUAAUUCGAUGCAACGCGAAGAACCUUACCUGGGCUUGACAUGUAAUGAACAACAUGUGAAAGCAUGCGACUCUUCGGAGGCGUUACACAGGUGCUGCAUGGCCGUCGUCAGCUCGUGUCGUGAGAUGUUUGGUUAAGUCCAGCAACGAGCGCAACCCCUGUUGCCAGUUACCAGCACGUGAAGGUGGGGACUCUGGCGAGACUGCCCAGAUCAACUGGGAGGAAGGUGGGGACGACGUCAGGUCAGUAUGGCCCUUAUGCCCAGGGCUGCACACGUACUACAAUGCCCAGUACAGAGGGGGCCGAAGCCGCGAGGCGGAGGAAAUCCUGAAAACUGGGCCCAGUUCGGACUGUAGGCUGCAACCCGCCUACACGAAGCCGGAAUCGCUAGUAAUGGCGCAUCAGCUACGGCGCCGUGAAUACGUUCCCGGGUCUUGUACACACCGCCCGUCA